AACAAUACUAUAUAUCAACAGUAAAUGAAAGCUUCCUGUUCUUGAAUAUAUAUCAGGUACAGCACAAACUAAACCACUUAUGUUCUAUAGCUAACCAAAAAAUAUUACCUGAUCCACUGUGAUUGAGUGUGACUAGACUGAGUGCAGAAUGAACUCAUGACCGCUCUCAUGCUCAAACCUGCAUUCUCACAUACAUAUACAACAGGUCAAACAUUCAGCAAGCAAUGACCCUUUAAUGACAUCUCAAAAAUAAAAAGCGCAUACCCUCUUUUCAGCUCUCCAUUGUUCAACGCUAUUGACAAACUGACAACAACAGAGGAAAUAAUUCCCGACACCCCCUUUUCAAGAAGAUGAGAGAUGAAAUCUCGAAACUCCAUCUUUACAGUUUUAUUCAACAAUAUAGGGUUAACAAUUAUUACCGAAAAAUGUUUAUAACAUAAAGUACAAAAGCCUACUCUAAUGGUUAAGACUUGAGAUAAAAGGAAUCACAUAUGGAUAGCAGAUAUCUGAUGAUCAAUAAUCUUAUUUGCAAUCUUUAUAAACCUCUAUUCAAUAAGAAGGGUAGAAAGAAUUGCACAGACCUCAGCCAGAACUGAAAUAAACCUAUUACCUCGAAGCUACCAAACAUCCAACCAUUGCUUGAUUGAAACUCGAGGUUGAGUUAUAUUAGUCAAACAAAAUUUAAGAGAACAUAUUUAAAAAGAAAAAAAAUAGAUAUAAAGUAAAAAGGAGUUUCGCCAACACUAUUUUUUAAGUUUAUAAUGUUGCUAAAAUAUCAUUAACAAUCAAACCUCAAGUAUCCUUUCUUUAGAAUCCGCAGAAGGUUUAAACCUGUGUCCAAUCAACAGUAACAGACUACAACUCAAUCAACAGCAAAUUAUCGACUAACCAUCAAUGUUAGCUGGGAUAAGAAAACUUUCUGCAUUUAAAAUUCAGCAAAACCCUCAAUUCUGCAAUCCAAAAUUCAUCCUCCCCAAUCCAAGCAAGAGAAGUAGAGAGAACGAAGGUAUAAUCAACGGCAAAAACCAAACCACAUUUUUCAGGGUUUCUUUUUUUCUAAUUCUAUUGCAUAACAAAGCACACUAAAACCAAAAUUCCCCUAAUAAAAUUGAAUUAAAGUAAACAAAUAUGGUUGUUCACUAACCAUCUAGACCGUUACAACAAAUCCUAAUUCCUAAUGUAACUAUGCUAAAAAGGAUAGGAGUCAGAAAAUUUAAUUUAAAUUGAGCUACUCAC
rnacentral:lncRNA from 1 species